rnacentral:rRNA from 1 species
AUUGAACGCUGGCGGCAUGCUUUACACAUGCAAGUCGAACGGUAACAGGUCUUCGGAUGCUGACGAGUGGCGAACGGGUGAGUAAUACAUCGGAACGUGCCUAGUAGUGGGGGAUAACUACUCGAAAGAGUAGCUAAUACCGCAUGAGAUCUACGGAUGAAAGCAGGGGACCUUCGGGCCUUGUGCUACUAGAGCGGCUGAUGGCAGUGUAGGUAGUAGGUGGGGUAAGGGCUUUCCAAGCCUGCGAUCUGUAGCUGGUCGGAGAGGACGACAAGCCACACUGGAAGUGAGACACGGCCCAGACUCCUACGGGAGGCCGCAGAGGGGAAUUUUGGACAAUGGGCGAAAGCCUGAUCCAGCGAUGCCGCGUGCAGGAUGAAGGCCCUCGGGUUGUAAACUGCUUUUGUACGUAACGAAAAGCCUGGGGCUAAUAUCCCCGGGUCAUGACGGUACCGUAAGAAUAAGCACCGGCUAACUACGUG